AUAGCAAAAACACAAUGACACUUUUGUCUA
rnacentral:sRNA from 1 species